rnacentral:rRNA from 1 species
AACGAACGCUGGCGGCAUGCCUAAUACAUGCAAGUCGAACGAUCUCUUCGGAGGUAGUGGCGCACGGGUGCGUAACGCGUGGGAAUCUGCCCUUGGGUUCGGAAUAACGUCGGGAAACUGACGCUACUACCGGAUGAUGACGUACGUCCAAAGAUUUAUCGCCCAGGGAUGAGCCCGCGUAGGAUUAGGUAGUUGGUGGGGUAAAGGCCUACCAAGGCGACGAUCCUUAGCUGGUCUGAGAGGAUGAUCAGCCACACUGGGACUGAGACACGGCCCAGACUCCUACGGGAGGCAGCAGUAGGGAAUAUUGGACAAUGGGGGCAACCCUGAUCCAGCAAUGCCGCGUGGGUGAUGAAGGCCUUAGGGUUGUAAAGCUCUUUUACCCGGGAUGAUAAUGACAGUACCGGGAGAAUAAGCCCCGGCUAACUCCGUGCCAGCCGCCGCCGUAA